rnacentral:lncRNA from 1 species
AUGGCUUCGUUGACAUACAUGUUAUAGCAAAUAGAUUAAUAAAAAUUCUAAACUUGUAUUAAUCUCAUAUUUAGUUGAUCAUAUGUUAUUUUUUAUUAACUUGAUUUUUUUAUUUAUUAUAGAAAUAACAGUUGGGUCAUGUACUGUGGUAGCUGCAGUUGUGAGAGACCACACACCAGUCUAGAAGGACCAUUGAUUAUUUAGAUUCUAGAUCC